UUCCCAUUUGCAUACAUACAUACAUACAUAUACACAUACACAUAUGUAUGUGUAUAUGUAUGUAUGUAUGCAAAUAGGAAGU
rnacentral:miRNA from 1 species